AGAGUUUGAUCAUGGCUCAGGACGAACGCUGGCGGCGUGCUUAACACAUGCAAGUCAGGGAGAAAAGGGUAGCAAUAUCCUGAGUAAACCGGCGAACGGGUGAGUAACACGUAGGCAACUUACCUUGUGAACGGGAAUAACCCCGGGAAACCGGAGCUAAUGCCCGAUGAUGUUCCUCGGCGGCAUCGCUGAGGAAUCAAAGGUUCCGGCGCAAGCCGGAGCGUCACAAGAUGGGCCUGCGUCCCAUUAGAUAGUUGGCGGGGUAAUGGCCCACCAAGUCGACGAUGGGUAGCUGGUCUGAGGGGACGAUCAGCCACACUGGAACUGAGACACGGUCCAGACUUCUACGGAAGGCAGCAGUGAGGAAUAUUGCUCAAUGGGCGAAAGCCUGAAGCAGCGACGCCGCGUGAAGGACGGAAUCCGUUAGGAUGUAAACUUCUUUUACAGGGGAAGAAUGUCCCGCUUGGCGGGAUUGACGGUACCCUGUGAAUAAGCACCGGCCAACUACGUGCCAGCAGCCGCGGUAAUACGUAGGGUGCAAGCGUUGUCCGGAAUUACUGGGUGUAAAGGGUCCGCAGGCGGGCGAGCAAGUCGGUGGUGAAAGUCUUUGGCUCAACCAAAGAAUUGCCUUCGAUACUGCUCGUCUUGAGUUCGAGAGAGGAUAAUGGAAUUCAUGGUGUAGCGGUGAAAUGCGUAGAGAUCAUGAAGAACACCAGUAGCGAAGGCGGUUAUCUGGCUCGAUACUGACGCUCAGGGACGAAAGCGUGGGGAGCAAACAGGAUUAGAUACCCUAGUAGUCC
rnacentral:rRNA from 1 species